rnacentral:rRNA from 1 species
CACGUAGGGCGCAAGCGUUGUCCGGAAUUAUUGGGCGUAAAGAGCUCGUAGGCGGUUUGUCGCGUCGAAUGUGAAACCCGGGGCUCAACCCCGGGCCUGACAUUCGAUACGGGCAGACUAGAGUUCGGUAGGGGAGUCGUGGAAUUCCUGGUGAGCGGUGAAAUGUCGCAGAUAUCAGGAGGAACACCGGUGGCGAAGGCGGGACUCUGGGCCGAAUGACUGACGCUGGAGGAGCGAAAGCGUGGGGAGCAAACAGGAUAGAU